rnacentral:tRNA from 1 species
AAGGAAACUAGGAGUAAAAUAGGGCUGCUAACUUUAUUUUGAGUGGUUCAAGUCCAUUCUUUCCUUU